AACGAACGCUGGCGGCAUGCCUAACACAUGCAAGUCGAACGGGAUCCUAGCUUGCUAGGUGAGAGUGGCGGACGGGUGAGUAACACGUGGGAAUCUGCCUUUUGGUUCGGGAUAACCGCGGGAAACUGCGGCUAAUACCGAAUGCCCUCGAGAGAGGAAAGAUUUAUCGCCAGAAGAGGAGCCCGCGUCCGAUUAGGUAGUUGGUGGGGUAAAGGCCUACCAAGCCGACGAUCGGUAGCUGGUCUGAGAGGAUGAUCAGCCACACUGGGACUGAGAUACGGCCCAGACUCCUACGGAGGCAGCAGU
rnacentral:rRNA from 1 species